UCGUUGGUGACCAGCGGA
rnacentral:rRNA from 1 species